AUAACAUUCUAUAGAAAACAUUGUUCUUAAGAUUGGGUUCUUUUUUUAAGCAUAAACCGCUCUAAAUUAUGUGCCAGGGAAUUACUGGAUAUGGGUCUGAGUAGGUAUGUACGAUGCAUAUUGUGGAAAUGGAUCGAUGCGAAGUCAGCUAAGAGUAGAUGCACCCUUUGAAGAUAUAAGAGGAAAAUGGCCUUUUAAGGGUUACUUAUGCUGAAUUUUAGUUUGUUACAUAAGAAGACCACAUGGAAGGAAUUAAAAGCAAUGCGAGUGAUUUCAAUAUGAAACCGGAAUGACCUAUUUGAGAAACACCUUCUAACAAAAAGAACUACUCUUGGAUGACUUGUCAAUGUCUCGCAAGUGAACAAGUAAACAAUUGAAGCUGUGCUAUGCUCAGUAAAAGCAAUAUUUUAUGAGCUCACAACAAAUUUUUAAGAUGUGAAAUAUUAUGGAUUACAUGAGCCCACAGCCGUAGUAAAUACUAUGACAUAUUUAAUAUAUAAAAUGACAAAAAAGGUAA